CAAUAGCGUAUAUUAAAGUUGUUGCAGUUAAAAAGCUCGUAGUUGGAUUUGUGGCGUACGGUGUGUUCCGGGCACUUGUUGUCUGAGUAACCUGCUGUUGCCAUCCUUGGGUGGAACCUGUGUGGCAUUAGGUUGUCGUGCAGGGGAUGCCCAUCAUUUACUGUGAAAAAAUUAGAGUGUUCAAAGCAGGCUUAUGCCGUUGAAUAUAUUAGCAUGGAAUAAUGAGAUAGGACUUUUUUGCUAUUUUGUUGGUUUGCGCAAGAAGGUAAUGAUUAAUAGGGACAGUUGGGGGUAUUCGUAUUCCAUUGUCAGAGGUGAAAUUCUUGGAUUUUUGGAAGACGAACUACUGCGAAAGCAUCUACCAAGGAUGUUUUCAUUAA
rnacentral:rRNA from 1 species